GCUAAUACCGAAUACGCUUUGAGAAGGAAAGCAGGGGAUCUUAGGACCUUGCGCUAUUCGAGCGUCCGACGUCUGAUUAGCUAGUUGGUGAGGUAAAGGCUCACCAAGGCAUCGAUCAGUAGCGGGUCUGAGAGGAUGAUCCGCCACACUGGGACUGAGACACGGCCCAGACUCCUACGGGAGGCAGCAGUGGGGAAUUUUGGACAAUGGGCGCAAGCCUGAUCCAGCCAUGCCGCGUGUCUGAAGAAGGCCUUCGGUUUGUAAAGGACUUUUGUCAGGGAGGAAAUCCCUAGCGCUAAUAUCGCUGGGGGAUGACAGUACCUGAAGUAUAAGCACCGGCUAACUACGUGCCAGCAGCCGCGGUAAUACGUAGGGUGCAAGCGUUAAUCGGAAUUACUGGGCGUAAGGCGUGCGCAGGCGGUUGUGCAAGUCUGAUGUGAAAGCCCCGGGCUCAACCUGGGAACGGCAUUGGAGACUGCACAGAUAGAGUGCGUCAGAGGGGGGUAGAAUUCCGCGUGUAGCAGUGAAAUG
rnacentral:rRNA from 1 species